rnacentral:rRNA from 1 species
AUGGCAAGAAAUGAUUUCGGAUUUGGUUCUUUGAUCAUAGAUAUCAAGCUUGAUGGUUCAAACUACAGGGAAUGGGCAUUUUCUGCCCAGACUGUCUUGAGGACGGCUGGUUUUGUUUCUCAUCUGACAGAUGAUCCACCUAGUCCAAAUGAUGAUGCAGCAAGGAAGUCUUGGCAAAAGAUCAAUGAUCGUGUGAUGGGAGUUUUAAUUCUGGGUGUUGAACCCUCACUCCGAAUGAGUCUUGAGCAUCACACUUCAGCUAAAGAGAUAUGGAAGUACUUUGAGCAGCACUACCUUCAGCCCAGCAGUGCACUUCAUUUCUCCUUGUUGCAGAAUUUACACAACACUCGGCAGCCAGAAGACAUGUCCAUAGAAGAGUACUAUGGAGCUUUCACUCGCAUCACUGGGCAGCUAGGUUCCAUGGUUCCAAAGGGUAAUUCUGGUUGUGAGUCAUGUGCGGCAAAGGAAAAGUAUGACCAUUAG